rnacentral:ribozyme from 1 species
GUUGACGGGCGUGGCCGAAAUAAAGGCCACGUUAAAACACAGGGGCUGUCCGAAGUCAGC